GUCCAGAGAUGGGAGCCGAACCCACAGUGUUCCGCUUACCGGGCAGAUGCCAUGUCCACUAGGCUACCCUGGA
rnacentral:tRNA from 1 species